ensembl:lncRNA
AUGUUAGUAACACCACUGUGUGUGUGUGUGUGUGUGUGUCAGCCAGCCAGCAUGGGUCGGCGCUCGUCUGAUAGCGAGGAUGACAGUCGGAGCAAGAAGAAGAAAAAGCAGCGUCGCCGGUCGUCGUCCUCUUCCUCCUCCUCCUCUUCCUCCUCCAACAGCAAGGUGGUCAGCAGCCGGACUCGGAGGUCCAGUCGCCGCAGCCGCUCUCGCUCCAGAGACAAGACCAAAGACAGGAGGAGACGGAGACGUUCCAGCAGCAGCUCGUCCCACAGUCCGUCUCGCAGGAGGAGGAGUCGCAGCACAGAGAGAGACAAGGGGAGGAGCCAUCGCUCACAUAGGUCACGCAGCCGGGACAAAAGGUCUCACUCUCGCCACCGGCGGUCUCGCAGUAAGAGCGGCAGCCGCAGCCGUCGGGGCACCCAGAGCCGCAAAAGAAGUGGCAGCCGCAGCCGCCGGAGGAGCCGGAGCCGCAGCAGAGAGCGGGACCGGAGCCGUCGCAAGGGCCGCGACCGGGAGAAGGAGAAGGAGCGGGACAGAGGGAGAAACAGAGACAAGGACAGAGAGGACAAGAGCAAGGACAAGGCAGCCAGAAAGGCGGAAGCCGCGAACAUCAAAGGCAGAUUAGAACAUCUGGUAAGUUUUAUUUUAUUUGACACCCCCCUUUUAUUCCCCUCACAGCACGCGCGCGCACACACACACACACACACACACACACUUUGA